CUGGUGCACCAAUUUAGGUGAUCACCAUUCAAGCCAAGGCUGCAGGUAUUAUCCAGCAUUAUGUUUUGGAGGAGACUUGUUUGGGAGUAGCCCUCGCAGGCAAUUCGGAAAUCACUCCUAGAAGAGACUAGAGGAUGAAAUGUAAAACCUGAAUGGGGAUUGAGGGGGAAAAAGCCACUGGUAAUUCACAUUCUUUUACAUGGCUUUUGUUUACGUUAAGCAUGUAAUUAACACCCCCCAAACAAGUUUAUUCACCUGCCGUAAUUGUGUGUUUAUCCGAGGGCUUGCUGAAUGUUCCGAGCAGCGGGGGACGAGAGCUCUGAAUGCACAUCGAGCAUUUAGCGUCUUCUCCGUUUACUUACAGCCUAAACCUCCAGACACGACAACACAAACAACAUUUUGUGCGCUGAAACACUGGGGAUAUGUUGGUCAAGCAGACAGACACGCCUGCCGUCUACUCUGCACCCACAUCUCUCUUCCUGUGUGACCUUAUUUAUUGACUGUAAAACACUCAGUCAAACUUUGUUUACAGAAGUUUUCUAUAAAUAAAGUUCGUUUUUUCCUUUAAAUAAAUGCUGCUAUUCUCUGGCUCAAGCAGGUCUUGCAGCACGCACUGAAUCUAAGUUGUUGCCAUGCUGGUUAAUUGCCAAUUAGUAAGUUAUUUUCAUUAUCAGUCUGUUCCAAUAAGGGGAGCAAAUAAACAAAGCUGAUGUUACGUCAUGUACGGGAGUGAGAGAGGGAGAAGAGGACCGGAUGAGAGAAAGAAAGAAAAAGGUGUUGACUGUAAAAGGUAAGAGGGAAAGAGAAAGAAGGCACAAAAGAAAGGGUCUUGUUUUAUUUUUUGCUCCCUCGUUGACCCCGGUUUGGCAGAGGCUGGCCAGAAAAGGCAGCACACCCCUCCCUGGCAAACACAGGAGAGACUCAUGUGCCUGCUGCUCCAUCCUGGAUUCACCGCAACAAUGCACAGGACGCGACUUUGGAGAAACGAUGGAGCUGUGAGCAGAGUCCAGUCCACGGACUGUCACCAUUCGAGCUUGAGACUGGACCUGACACUGGUUCACUGCUAUUUCACUGGUCAAUUUGUCCAAGAUCAAGACGGAAAUCCAACCGCUGCUCCUGUAAGUUCUGCCUAAGCAGACCCGUUUCCAUCUACGAUCUUGCCUGUGAUGUUCGCUAAACUACAAUUUUUUUCCCCACUCUUUAAAAAAAUGAAAUGAAGACUGAAAUGCCUGUCAGGCAUUUUCUGUUUGAUCAAGAAGGUAAUUUGAUUUUUUCCAAGAUUGCAAAAGUCAAGUUUUUAAUUUGGAGCAUUUUCCAUUUUUAUUCACCGAUCACCGGGAGAUCUGUGCCUUUGCAGAGCAGAUGUGUGAUGCUGUCGGGACGGGGCGCACAAUCCCCUCCGUCCCAUGCUGGCCAUGCCAGGGGGGACUUCCUGGCAGGGCUGGGAGCUUGUAUCGGAGCUGUCCAAUCAGUGUAUUUACACGGGUUGUUAGCGACAGUUAAUGAGGGCUCCUCCCCGGGCCGGUAGAGAAAGGCGCCUCAACAUUAAGAUUUACCUUGUGUCAACUCGUUACUUCUAAUGAACCUUCAUGCAAAAGCCUCCUCGUACUCAAUGGAGCCGUGCGCCCGGAUCUUGUGUGUGAGACCCUGGAAGAGUGGAGCUGCAAGCCGCCAUCCCUCUCCCCCUUUUCUUCCGCUCACUCAGAGAGAGUUGCUUUUUCUCUGCAGGUCCGGGCUCCAUGAUGCAUGCAUGCAUGCCUCAGUGUGUGUGUGUGUGUGUGUGGUGUGUGUGUGUGUGUGUGUGUGUGUGUGUGUGUGUGUGUGUGUGUGGCAGAGAGAGAGAGAGUGAUUGAACGUGUGUGUCUAAUGAAGGUGUGUGGUGCAUAUAACCUACUUUUUAUGAAAAUGUGACGUUAGCCACCAAAGCCUCGUUUUACCUUAUUAAUAGCACAAUAACACCUGAUUAUACAGCGUUGUGAAUGAACACAUCGUAGCCCUCAGACUACACAGUCAAUGUGUUGAAAUUGACAACGUUUUGAAAGAGUGGUGUCUAAUCAUCACUAUAGUGUGAUGAGACACAGGACAGAGGAGCAGGAGAGAGGUUGUGUUUGCGUGUCCGUAUCACAAACCUGACAUGUCUUCUAUUGUUUGGUGAAUUAGGCUUGACAUGUCAGCUUAUUGCCUCUGCAGAAGUAAGUUCACUUAUAAUCACCCCCCAUCCCCCAGCAGAGCACCGUGCACAGCUCGGGCUCUGGCCCCUCCGUCCACCCCUCAUCUGGCCCCCAGUGUGGCUUGUUGAGCCGCAUCAGCAACACAUCAAUGCCCCUCAAUUCAGGUACAAACUGGAGGAGUUUGGCGGAUCCCUGAAGUGGACUCCCCUCUUACUCUUCUAACCCACAGAGACACCACUUAAAAAUCAAUUAGGCUGGUCUAGUCUCUCCCUCCCCGCCGGUCAACAUUCCCGAAACAGGUGGCUUCCACCAAAUUUUGGGAGAGAUUAAAAAGUAAAUUCAAAAAAGAUUCAUUAUUUAAUUUUAUCUUGGCUCCAGUUAUGAAUGACUUGAUGCGCCCUCAUGCACCUUAUGGCUCAUCUGAAGUUAUAGACUAUCACUCUAUCUGCCUUCAUGAGGUCAUUUACAUGUUUGUUGAAGCCUGUACUCUCCUCUUUGACGUAGAAAUGUCUGACAGAAUAUAGUCCAAGCCAAGUCUCAUCUUCUGAUCUGGGAAAUAAAACGUCCCCUCCCUCCCUUAUUUUAUUUUGUAGAACCUGGAUUUUAUUGUCUCUUGUACUGACAGGACCUUUUAGUAUGAGGAGUGGUAUGCUUGUUACACAAUAUGUUUGCACACGAUAAUGGGAUUUACCAUCGCUUAUAAAAAUCUACAUCCAGCAGCAGCCAGCAGGUGACAAAGUGGCCAACACUAAGCUACAUAUUCGCGGUUGUUGGCACUUUGUCACCUGCUGAUGGUAGCGACAGAAAAACAGUUUGGUUUUCACAUCCUUGAUAUGUUUCUAAAAAUCAUUUUAUCACUCAUACAGGCUCUUUCCUCGUGCUAGUAACUCCAUAUCAAAAACGCAUUUUCUCGUGUCGUCUCUUUCACCAUCAGUUUAAGCGCACAGUCGCCUGGUCCCCCGCGUUAAAGAGCUGCAGCAAUAUGACACGGAGCAGCAGCGCCGGAGGAGGCCAUGUGUUCACUCUUCCAGGUAGAUGGGUUGAUUUGGAGACACGGAGGGAGAAAUAAAUAUAAUGGGUGCAUAUCAGAUGCAUUGCCCCAAGCUUUACAUAUGAUGCUCACCUUCCAUCCCCCAGUGACUUUUUUUUUGAAAGAGCAAAACAAGACCUUCUCCACUCUCUCAGCUCAGCCACAAUUUAUUUCAACAUCCAACCUUUGAAUAUCAGUCUGUCACCUGCAUGCGUGGGCCUACAAGUGCACUCUGGACUCCUGAGAGGUAACACGAUGGCCAAAGUUACAUCAGCACAAAUGUUGAUAGAAUUUCUCCAAGCAAAACAGGACUGUUUUGGGCUUGACUGUCAAGGCUGAUUAAGCGCCCCGGCUCUUAGAUGCAGAUAGAGGCUGUGGAGAUGGCCCUUUAGUCCGGUGUCACAGAAGCUGACAAGCCGUAAUUACUCUGGCUGACACAUCGCUCUCAGAGCUCACUAAUGUGAGAGAUGUGGAUGCCACAGACAGCAUGCGUACAGUACGAGACCGCUUUAGCCACGCACUCCCUUUUAACCGGGGAUCAGAUGCUGCUGGGCUGGCCACAUGCUCCGCAGCUGACCUUUUCCAUUUUAACAUUUCAGUAGUGAAAUAGCCUCUUAUUUGUAAGCUAGUGAUAUAGUAGAGGAGAUCAUAAGGAUGUGUGAAUGAAUCAACAGCAUGCUGUAAUAUAAUGUUAUAAGACAGACAUAGCAGUAAAUCAGUGGUGGAGCUCAGGUGUCUAUAGAACCUACAAUUUUCACAUAUCUCUAUUUCACUUAUUUAUAGUUUAUGCUACUUUACUUGCUUCUUUACCUUUUAAGGGAAACUAUUAUAUAUUUUUUUACUCCAGUACAUUUAUCAAUCAGCUCCUACUGUUCAGAUUAAUAUUUUACAUAUGCAGCUUAGACAUUAGGCCACAGGCUAAACUAUUCAGCAGCAUAUGUAGUUGUUAAAUUAGUUUCACCUCAAACAGAUGCAACAUUAAAUAGAUGUUGUAUGUUAAUGCAUUAGAGAUUAUAUUUUCAGUGUAACAAAACACACUGAAAGGGAACACUGUACAAGUACUUUUACUUUUGAUAAUUAAAAUAAAUUUGGAGGGGCAGCUGCUUUUAACGGUCCUACUGUUUGAGAAUCAAUUAAAUAUUAUAAAGUUACAAUAAGAAGCUGUCCUGAAGUAGACAGCUAUAAUCCUUUAGGUGGGCUGGCUUUAUCAGUAGUGGAAAAUAACUAAGUAGGCUACAGUUAGCCGAGACAACUUUAUCCUUUAUAACAUUCUCUACAUUUCAAAGGGGAAUAUUGUACUUUUUACUCCAGUAUUUUCAUUUUACAGAUGGUUCAAAUUUUAUUUAAAAAAAAAAAACAGGUUUAACAAAUAAAUAAAACAUUUUUAUAGAUUAAACUGCUCAGAAGCAUAAAAUAGUCAAAAUAGUCCCACUUUGACCAGCUAAAACAUAAAAUCCUUUUUACAUGUCAGAGUAUCAAUAACUUUCUAAUAAUAUAAUAGGUGAAUGUAGAAUGACUCUCUGAUCACUCUGAAACUGGCCUUUAAUUAGUAUUUUUACUUUUGAUACUUUAUUUGCUGACGAUACUUUCACAACAGAGUAUUUUUAACAUUAUGUUCCAUAGAUUGUUAAAUGGUAUCUGCUGCAGUCACUGUGUUUACACUGGCAGUGACUGUCACUGUCAUUUAACUCUUCCCACAACACAACAUGCACAACUUCUAUCUCUGUCAGCGGGUAAAUGCUUUCAUUAUGGCUUUAUUGUGUAAUCGACCAAUGUGAGUGAUCUAUAGAUUCAUAUCGAGUAUCUCUCUCUCUCUUUCUCUCUCUCUCUCUCUCUCUCUCUCUCGAUCGUAUGUGUGUGUGUGCAUUUGUGAGCCUGUGUGAAGGUUACAGUCACCGUGUCACCCACGAUCCUGUCAUUGUCUCAAAUUUUGUUUGUUGCGGUGUUUGCAUGGCACGCAACGAACAAAACCGACGUCACCCUCUCUCUCUCUCUCCCUCUCUCUCUCUCUCUCUCUCUCGCUCUCUCUCCCUCCCUCCCUCCCGCUCUCUCACUCUCUCUCCCUCUCUCUCCUCCUUGACUGCAGAUUUUGACAUUACUCCACUCGAUUGCCCGUUUACCCCCAAGUCAAGUUUGAGACAGGCAUGAAGUGUAAAAGAGGUGGGCCAUGUCAUAUCCGCUCAGUGUGCAUGGGGUUGUUGGUCUGCUCGGCUGUGAUCAUUGUUCAGGAGAACAAUUCCUGCACAGAGGGCCCGAGCAGGCAGGAAGGCUGCAUAUCAGACAGGCAGAAUAGUUGCAAACAGCUAUUCACUGCUGCAGUGGCAAUGUACUGUACUGUAGUCACUGGUGGAAGAUAGAUGUAGCUCUUUGACACUUUCCUAACACUUCUAUUUAGAUUAUUAUUAGGACUGUCUGUUGCUGCCUGUCAUUAAAACUGUUUACCCUACUUUAAUAUUGACUUUGCUGGACUUGCUGAAGAGAUUUUGUCAAAUGAAUCUAAGGGUUACUUACUCUGCCACCUACACACCACUUCAAGGAUAUUAAUAUUAAUGGGAUAUACCCGCCUUAAUAGGCUAUAAAAACACUGCUCUCUUGACACUGCCGUGUGUCUGUGAAUGUUAAUUUAAAUGACCAGGAGAAGCCUUUCAAAGUCCCAGAACAUCAGUCUUAAAUUUGAUGUUAUUUCCAACGUUUCUUUAGGACAGAUCUCUUCCCAAGAAAACCUAAAUCCUCGAAGCAUCUUUCUAGAAAUAUUACUAGAAUAUAUUUAUGUAGGUUUUAUCCUGUUUGCAGGCCCAUAUUUAUUUAUAAAUGUAUGAUAUAGGUUAUGCUUAUGUAGCCUAUAGUCUGUUCAGUUAGUACUGACUCUUUUUUUAUUGUUAUUUCCUAAGGCAUCCCCAAUAUUCCUUUAAGGUUGGUUUGCUGAUAGCACAUAUCCAGUCUCCCUGAGCCAAGAAUGAAGGAAUCGCAGAUUCUUUCUUAGUCUUAUCUAAAAAAAAUAAAUAAAAAUAAAUAAAUUUAAAAAAACAGGUUACUCUGUCCAAUCCGUCAUCCAUCACGUUUGAGACUAUGUAAUCUGGCAAAUGGCUACGUAGCGUUGUCGGUCUCUGUGUAGCUCAGUGUGCUAACGCAAAGCUCUGCGCUCAGUGCAUCACUGUCAUGAAAUGGCAAAACACUUCUGAAAGACAAAAAUGCUAAUUACAAAUAAAUAGGUUUGGAGAAUGGAGAAAAUGUUUGGUUAAUUGUUUUCUUCAACAUCAACAAAAAAAAACUCAAAUAGGCUUGUAGCUGCACAUGAUGGUUGCUAAGCAACAGAUUGGCGCAGGUGUUGUACUGCGCUUGUCUGUGUAUGAAAUCUCAGGUGUGUGUUUAUCGAGCACAUCACCGUGGCUCCGGCUCAGCAGCCAAUCAGAGGUGAGGGCCGGAACUAAUCGUCCUAUGACUGGAUAUUAGCUUACAGGAUAAUAACGGAGGGAUGCGGCGGCCGAGGAGCCGGUUACUCACGGGUGAGCUGCUCCCGUCCAAUCUGAUUUGUGUCACGCAUCUCCGUUUAGCUCGCCAGAUCAAUAGCGGACGUCUGGGAGAGCAGGGCAGAGGGAGGGAGGGAGGGAGGGAGGGAGGGGUGACGGUGAUCUGGGCCACUGUACCAGCGCAAGGACAGGAAAGGAAAAGUGCAACAGGUCAACAGCAGUUCGGCCCCUGGAGCAGGUCCGCACGAAUUCAAGUGGCAUAUAGAAAUAAUGCCCACAGGCAGCAGGUUCUGUGUGUGUGUGUGUGUGUGUGUGUGUGUGUGUGUGUGUGCGCGUGCGUGCGUGUGUGGAUGUGUGUGUGCGUGGUCUUGAACAGCCUCAUAAAAAUAACAAUCAGCAGCAAAGACAGGCCCAUAUCCUGUUAGCCUAUUACCUCCUUCUAGAGUUUCAGGGACAUUAUCAUUAUCAUUCCUCUUAUUAUUAUAUUUGUUGUUGUAGUUGUCUAACACUUUAAGUCUAUUUAAUAUGUAUAAGCAGUUAUAAACCUUUAAUAAAUGGUUUAUUUAUUACAAAUUGUAACUGUUGAAAAAUACAGUACAUUAAUAAACAUAAAUAAAUAAUGUCAUUAUAUCUAAGUACCACUAACUUACGUUACAAACCGUUUAUUAAAUGUUUGUAUACUGCUUAUAAAUACUGAAUUUUGAAGUGUUAUUAUUAUUAUCUUCAAUAUUAUUAUAGGCUACAGUAUUUAAAGCUUCAUUUUAAAAUCAUAAAGCCCUGAAACCAGCAUCCCUCACCAUGUUGCAGCUCAUCCUCAGAGAUUCCAGAAGCUUUCGAUAAUCACUGCGGAUACUUGUUAAGUCAAUAUGUGGAAGUAAUUGAUUUUAAGUCUUAAAAAGCAUACCCGGAAGGACCAAACGAUUUCUGCUAUGCCUACAAUAAGCACUUUACUUGUGAAAAAUCCUUCAUUAAUCCAAUUAAAGCGGUUAUUUCAAUGUGAUCCACACCACGAAGCCUAAAAACGAGAAGAGUAAAAAAUGGUCAGUAUUUUUUUUUUUUUUUUUCACGAAAUUUCUCUCGGUCUGUUUUUGUGGAACAAAACUUAAUAUUCAUAUUUCAGUGUUACUGCAGCCUGAAAUAUGGCUACUCCCUGGUUGUGUGUGGUUGCCUCAGCACAGUGCUGUUUGGCUUACAGUAUCAGUAGUUUGUAUCAAGUUAGAUACGCUCACCACGCACACCCACUGCCUGCUAUUGAAACCAUAAUGUUUUCAUACGCAUGGGGCUCAUACACACUCUGCUGAAACCAUUGGAGCCAGCAUGUAACCUGCCAUCCCUUCUGUGCAACCUACACACGCAAAUCCAAAAAAAAAAAAAAAAAACUCACCUGAAGUGACACUCACGCCACCAAGAGCGUCACCAGGAGUAUUGUAAUAUUUUGAAUGUACUAAAACAAACGGAAUAAACACGCCUCACACACUGUAUAGACGUGACCUAAAUCCGUCCUGCUGUAAGACACAGAGAGAUUUCAGCUUUAUUUUUUGAAAAUGCUCAUUCAUUAUUCAGGUGCAGGUUAUUAGCUUUGGAUGGCAGAUGUCAGAGCGUGAUGGAGAUGUUUAUGUUCCACUGAUUUAAGAAGCCAUUAUCCCACCCGCUUAUCAAACAUUCAUGUGUGGCAGCUGUAGUUGUGGAUCUGCCCUCCGUCGUGUCUCCUGUGGCCGCUUCAUUUCCCCUCUUAAGCAACCGCGACCUUUCCACUCACUUAACCUAUUAUCUUUUAACAUUUAAGAGACAGCUCAGCCACUUACUUAAGCCAAAAGCAUUAUUAAACUACAGAAAAAUAACUGUAAUACCACAACUGCAAGUCUCUAUAAAGCCUAAUACCUAUAAUGUCUAAUACACGACAUUGUAAUUUAUGGAGAACCACGUGUGUCAGGAAUGUUACAGGAACACUAAGUAACAAUGUGCCAUAUAUUGUCACUAUAAAUCAAUUGUAGACAUAUUAGACAGCGACUUUUCCAUUGAUCCAACUGACACAAAUAGUCUUUACAGUUCACAAAACAUUUUUAAAGAUCAUAACAACACGAUCUGAUAAUAUAGACGACAAUUCAUUAAGCUGUGAGCCAUUAAAAGCAUUAUAAAAAAAUUAAAUGAUUGCAAUAAGUUGUAAUGUUACUUUUAGUUGUUGACCAAACCAAAAUCAAAAUCAUUUUUAUCCUAUAGGCUGCAGUAUAUUGCCUCAACUGUACACGUUAUUAUAAGGAUAAAAGGAUAAUGCCAUAAGAUUUUUUUUUUUUUCAUUUUUUUUUUUUUAGCAAUACUGAAUUUACUGUUUUUAACAUUCUUCAAAUACAACAAUAAUAUCCAUAAAAUAAUGAUGAAUUUUCUGUGACGGGGUUUUUGUUGUUAUAGAAUUAGUAAAGUCAUAACUCAGGAAUAUAACUUUUGCAGAUGAUUUUGAUUGAAUAUUUGAAUUUUAUCUAUUCAGUUUGGAUUUCUUGUUGGCUGUGAACCCUUUUAAUCCUCCAUCAAAAGAGAUGAAAUGAGAAAAAGGAAAUGUAACUUUUCCAGUUUAAUAUUGAGCACCAUGGCUGUUUUUUCACAGGCUAAAAAAAAAAAAAAAAUCCGUGUAUCCUGAGCUGCACCAUAAUCUUUUCUCUCCCGGUUGACUGUGGCUGCACAGAGCAUCCAGCUUCCAUGCCUUUUUGCAAUUGCCCUGCGAACAUGGUGGUUUUCAUUCUUUUGACCCCUCCAUGAACAGCACGCCGCCGCCCUCGCCGCUCCCCUCCACCCCUUCCAAACAGCCCCACACAAUGCUGCGUGUGCGUGUGCGCUCUGCGGUAUGUGGGCUACAAUGUCGUGCAGAGGUAAUGGGAAGUAGUCGGAAGGUAAGGUCACGGGUUCACGGCGGGGUUAUAGAGACCCGACCGUGGCUCCUGUUUGCUUUUUUUCCACAACUCCGCUUCCUUCCUACAGGAGGAUGUGUCCAGUGUGCCACCGUCCUCACCCCGCAACAACCCCGUCACCGCACAGACCCUGUUUGUUUUUCUGCGUUUAUUAAAUCUUCCCCCGGCAGGAAAACGACCAAUAUCACCACGUCACUGGGCGCUGGUGAGUUUAGCGCUUCGCAUCCCUCCUUGGCUCCCUGAGAAAUCUUUUGUGUUUGUACUUGUGAAGUCUGGUGUCUAUUUAUAUCCGCACACAGGCUGACUGUUCAAGGCGGCUGCAGUUUAUGCAGCUUUUUUCAAAUCCUUUUCAAGGUUUUAUAUUCAAAUGGCUUAGUGUCAUUUUACAGAUUUCACAGCAAAGCAAAUACGGAAAAAUCGAACGUUUUCACUUUUUUCCAAACACAAUCAUCUACAGGUAGACAACAGAUCAAUAAUCAUUAACCACAUAGGGCAACAUUUUUUCUCCUUUAUCCAUCUAUAUCUCAAUUUACUUGUAUUCUUUGGCCUUUGUUUAAAAACUGCUUGAUGGUAAAUGUUUUUACUAUCAGACAGAAGUCAUUGAACUUCUCCUUGAUUAACACAAUUCCAUUCAUGCUCCUUUACAUCAAGGCUUUCAUGAAUAUUCAACUACAUUUACGCAGCACAACAGUGAUGUAAGUUACUGGAAUCAAAUAGAAAUAAAUGUUCUUUUUUUUUAGAAGAGAUUAUUAUUAUCUCAUUAGGGAUAACUGCCUGCAGGUCAGGUGGGUUAUCCACCAUUUUAAUUGCCAUAACCAUUUUCCUGAGCUUUCCUUUAAUGCAGUUAGAAUGACUGCAUUAUGGAAGUUAUGUCUCUAUCAUGUGAUGUAGAUUAUUCCUUUAAAAGGAAACCAAGUGAGCUACUAAUCAUUAAAGGCUGGGAUUAUUAUAUGUUAAAAAAAUUCUAUUGCAUUAGCUGUGGCAUUCUAUUUUAUGCAAAUUGCAGUGGUCAUAUUAAGAUGUCUUUUCGGCUUCUUUUGGCAUAUUAAGUUUAACAGUUUAAGUAUAAAUUAUUUUUUAUAGAUGAAAAAAAAUAUUUAAAAUUCCACUUUAAAGACUCAAUUGUACUAUUUCUAUUUGUUAAAAAAAAAUUGGUUUCAAACCAAUUUACUUUAACCUUUAGUUUUAAUCUCAUCAAAUGUAAUACGGUUGGCUGAAUUAAGAUUAUGUGUAACUGAAAAUUGGGCAUUGCACACAUAUAUCCUUAUGAAAAAGUUAACAUGGGGUAUCCUAUAUGACCUGUAUGAUGUUUUGUAUUACAUCAUAUGUAAAGUCAGUUUUUCUCCAUGAUAAACAAUUUGAUAAGUAUUAAAAACCAAGUGCAACUGAAUGAAAAAGCAAUUUUAGGUCACGUGAUCAUAUGAAAAAUACUGUAUUAAUGUGUGUUUCCCUUUUAAUACUUUAUUUGUGUUUUGUUUAGAUAACUCAGUUUAAUAACACAUUACAAUAAUUGAGAUAUUAUGACACUAUAAUUUUUUCUAUAACACAACAUCAUCCAGACAACAUACAAAAACAUGCAGAUAAAAGAUUUCUGUCAUGGAUAAAAUUUAAGAUGAUGUUACAACCUAAUGUAAGUGUUAUGCAACCUUGUCUUAUGUCUAUAUACUGCUAACAUAAUGAUGUUAUAUGGUUUCCUACAUGGAGGAUGAUCGCUGUAGAAACUCACAGCAUCUCAUAGCAGAGGAUGACAACCCAUGAAUGAAGCAACCCAAACAAGACUGCCUCUCUCAGUCCUUUCACGCAGGGAAGAAAAGAUGGGAGGAAUGAUAACAGGAGGAACAAGAGAGGGAAAAGAAAGAAAGACAGAAAAGAUUAAGAAACGGAGAGAGAGAGCGGAGGAAGUCAUAAAUCCUCAAAGCAGAUGAUUGAGAUUCACACUUUGCACUGGCAUGGAGAGGGCCUGUUUUUUUUUGUUGCCUUCCCUCUGUUCCCUUCUCUCUCUCUCAGUGUUUCUCAUCCUCUCUUUUUCUCUUUGUGUCUGUAAGUAGACAUUUAUACUGGAGACAGGAAGAGAGAGAGCGAGAGAGAGAGAUUUUGGUUGUCUGCCUAUCUCCUCCUCACCAUGGCGCCCCUGAGACCAAGCAAGCAAGGAGGGCACACAUACACACACACUUGUAGCUGCCACAGAGGAGAACAGCUUGGCUCUGUGUUACACUGAAAACCCCACUUUCCCUCAGUAAGACAGACAGGUAGACAGCUGGGUGUUACACUAAAUCCCUUCCCCCGUGUGUCCCUCCUAACAAGCGCUUCACUCUUACUGUCGUUUCUCUCUGUCUGCUGCUCUCUUUAUCUCAUGCCUCACGCUUAAAAGCGAGAGAAGCGAGUCAGCUUUGGGGAAAUGUAUAACGAUGAUAUGACUGUAAAAUGUAGAGUAGUUCGUGAAUACUUCAGAGGAGAUGUUACGGUUUAAAUUUGCAUGAUUAGUCAACAAGAACAGCCAUUUAAAGAUGCUGAAAAUAAAACCCAGAGCGUCCAACAGAGGUGUUAUCUGUCCCUCUCUUGUCUCUCUCCACCCUGACCCCAAGUUCACUCCUUCUAAGCACCACUUCACCCCCAAGCCCAAAUUUUGUGUGUGUAUGUGUGUGUGUGUGCUGGGAGCUUUUUGAUUUCCUGUGUGUGUGUGUGUGUGUGUGUGUGUGUGUGUGUGUGUGUGUGUGUGUGUGUGUGUGUGUGUGUGUGUGUGUGUGUGUGUGUGUGUGUGUGUGUGUGUGUGUGUGUGUGUGUGUGUGUGUGUGUGUGUGUGUGUGUGUGUGUGUGUGUGUGUGUGUGUGUGUGUGUGCGCGCGCGCGCCAAUAGAGAGAGAUGAGAGAGGAUGAUGGUCAGGCUUGGCCUACUGACUCAUCCACAGAAAGAACUGUGUUGAUACAGGGAUGAAGCCAUCACACACUUACACAUACCCUACCCCCCACCUCCCACCCCACAUACACACACACACACACACACACACAAACACACACACACACACAUGGAGAGACACAGACACACACGAGCUGACAGCCUCUUCCCAUCAGUCUUUUGUUGUGCUUGCCAGUGAUGAUGAUCUCACCACAUAGCAGGACUAAGCCUCAAUAGUCAGCCAGUCAGUCAGUUUGGCAGGCAGACAGGCAGCCAGUCAAUAUGCCCAUCAGUCAUUCAGCCCACCAGUCAGCCAGUCAGUUAGUAGCAGCUAAUUAUCAAAACACUAAGUUAGUAAGCAGUUGGGCAGGUAGUUAGCUAUGAAAUGAGAUCACAACAUCCCGGUAAGUCUGUAGCUCCUUCCAGCAUCUUCUCUCUGCUCCGUCUAUGAGGAAGACACUGGAAUCAGGCAUGAGAGAGAAGGAAAAUUAAAAAGAAAGAAAGAAGAAGAAGAAGUUCAUUAAAAAGAAGCAUUAUUUUCCUCAGAACACAUCUGUCUUCCAGUUGAACGCAGAGAGAAAUCCUGCUGGAUAGGUUCAGAUAUGAAUUCUAAUAGCCACAUCAAGUCAGUAACAAACUCUACUAUAACCUUAAAAUCAGCAAGAAUCAGAGCUUUCAAGUCCAGGCAGGACUUAGUAAAAACCUAUCCACCCUUUUAUUUCCAGCAGGUUGAGCUUCAACAGUCUUUUCUCCUGUCUCCCCCCAAAAAAACAGCCUCUCAGGCUGCAGCUGAUUGGAUCCUGACAAAGACAAAGAAAAAGUGAACAUGCAGAGUUUAAAACACCAUCGCUUUGUCUGCAAAACCUCCACACGGUUUAAGACCACAACACAUUCUUACUGUAGCUUUUAUGAUAUGCACCCUCUUGAUCUCUCAGGUCGUCAGGUACCGGUGUUGUUAACUGCUCCCACAAACAAAGCAACAACAUGGAGAAGUAGCAUUUAGUUGUACUGCACAUCAGUGGAAGUUUGAUUUGACCCGACUCUCAUCUUUAAAACCAGAUAAAAAGCUUUCAUGUUUUCUACUGACUCUUAAGCACUGCAACCAUCAUCCAACAUCCUGCACUCACUCCUAUUUCAUUUUGUUUUCCUCUUUUAGAAAUUUAAUUCAUUCAUUUGUUUCAAUAAUUAGUGUUUUAAAUGUAUUGUAUUAUCCUUGAAUUGCCUUUGUGUAUGAAAUGUGCCACGUAAAAAAUAAACUUUUUCUGCAUUGCC